rnacentral:tRNA from 1 species
GGAGGGUUAGCUCAGUUGGUUAGAGCGCAUGCUUCACACGCAUGAGGUCACGUGUUCGAGCCACGUACUCUCUACCA